CCGUUUAAAGUAUUAGGAGGCUCGCCUGCCCAGUGUACAUUUGUUAUACGGCCGCCGUACCCUAACCGUGCAAAGGUAGCAUAAUCACUUGUUUUUUAAAUAAAGGACCUGUAUGAAUGCCUCCACGAGGGUUCCUCUGUCUCUUACUUUAAAACAUUGAACUUGCCCUGUCCAACAAAAGGUGGGCAUUUAACAUAAAAACAAAAAAACCCCUAUGGAA
rnacentral:rRNA from 1 species